CCCAGGGAUGCCUUUCUAGGCCCUGACCUGUGAAAGGGUGAGGAGAAGUUUCCCAGUCUCUACCUCGGGGCUUGAAUUCAUACAGGUCGCUAUCUUUCAAUUGCACAAGGCCACAAGGAGGAUCUAAACUCACUGUCUGAGGAAUUCCAGGAAGCUGCAGGGUUGGUAGAAAUGCUGAUCCCUGCUGGUGUUGACCUCAGACCUUGGCUGGGUCACCCGUGAUAGAGUUUCUCUCUCAUGCAUCUGAUCCCUGCUGGUGCUGACCUGAGACAGCAGACUAGGUUGUGCCCCCCCCCCCCAUGCCUCCCCUAGAAUCAUUCUCUACGUUCAAUUUCUGCUGGUGUACUCACAGAGAGGCCAUGAGCUGAAGCUACAAGAACCCUGGUGUGCCCUGGUGUUGAAGAACUCUGACAAAGCUAAGUGAGGAGAUCUGAUUUCCUUUCAGGGAGAGGGUGAGGGGACCUGUCCCUACUCCCAUUUCUUAAUGCUGCUUUGAGGUUCCAGAGAUGUUGAGAAUAUAUUGCACAGAAAAUUAUUCAAGGUCCUAGCACCAACCCAGACAUAAAAGGACUGUAACAAUUGAUGGAUGGGAAGAGGGAUGGGCUUGGACUGUGACCCAUCAAUCAAGCACCUCCUGGAGCUGUCUGACGAGCUGGAUUGACACUGCUAAGGGUGGAAGAGAGCAUGCUGCAUUGGGAAAGAAGGAGCCAUUUAGGCUUGAGCACAAGAGGAAAAAGGGAAGCAAAAGUAAUUUGUUUCUUGAAAUAAAAUCAGCUUCCUUUUUAUUGAUCUUGAGAAAGAAAGUGACAGAGACAAACUGAAUGCAUGUGGACCCCAAAAGCCCUCCUGUGAACGUUUUAGGUGAUUCAUACAGCUGGGCUUCAAACUUCUCACUUAGUAUUGUACAUCUGUCUGUGUGCCAGGCUUCAUGUCUCCUGGGACAGCGAAUCCUGGCCGGGAUAGGAAGAGCAUCCACACCUGUGUGAGGCGUCUGCAGUUUUCACACAAGACCCUGAGCUCACAUGACCCUUACCACAAAUAACCUUGGGCAGGAGUAUUACAACUGGGGAGACUAAGCCUCAGAGAUGAGCGAGCUGUCCAAAGCCUACCAGUCUGGGUUUCCCAGGGUCUUACUUGCUGUCAUAUAUAUAUAUAUGAAAUCAUAUUAACAAAAAUACUGACUUCAA